CCACAUUUUCAUUACUCCUUUGCUUCAGCACCACAAGACCUCUUUCUCUUUCAUUACUCUUUCUCUCUCUCUCUCUCUUUCCUCUCUCCCUCUCCUCUCUCUACCCACACACACCACCUCUCUCCCUCUCCUCUCUCUACCCAUACCACCAGCUGCAGCCCACCGCCCCACCAGCCCAGACCUCAACCCACCGCCUCCGACCACCGUCAGUCCACCGUCGGCGGCGAGCUUAAACAGGAAGAGAGCGGAUCAGUGAGCGACUAAAGAUACUACAAGAACUUGUUCCCAAUGGUUCCAAGGUUGAUUUGGUCACCAUGCUAGAGAAAGCAAUCAGUUACAUCAAUUUCUUCAAUUGCAAGUGAAGGUGUUGGCAACAGAUGAAUUUUGGCCGACACAGGGUGGAAAAGCUCCAGAUAUUUCUCAAGUAAAAGAUGCCAUUGAUGCCAUCCUUGCCAGUCAACGAGACAUAAACUCAACCUCCAAGUGAUUAUAUAGUACCUAGCUAGAUUAAUCUGUUGAAGAAAAUGAAAGAAUUAAAAGGGUUUCACAAAUAAUUGAAGUAGCGCAGCAAUGGCUUCAAAGGAAAUAGAGUUCCCUUUGGAGGACUAAUAUGGUGGUGAAAAUUUAGCCUUAAUUUGUGCAUUCCGAGCUUCUUUGAUUAACCAUGUAUUAGAAGUCAUCUAAAAGCUAAAAAAAGAAGAAAUUUUCUUUGUUUUAGUUCGUCUUUUUCGUCAUGCACUCAUGCUUUAUCAGUUUGUAAUAUGGGGAUUUUUAGUUCGAAUUAGAAGUUCUUUUAAGUUUAUAAUGUAAGUGUUUGAAUGUAGUUUAUGAUGUUUAAGUGUUUGAAUGUAGUUUUAAUUUUAAGUACUUUGAGGUUGAAUUUGAUUGUUUAUAAGUGUUUGAAUGGACAAUGUUUAAGUGUUCAAGUGUUUGAACAUUGUUUA